rnacentral:lncRNA from 1 species
CAGUCAGCCCGCUGCACGCUCGCUAAUGAGCAUAUCGUGCGAGCGUUAUCGUGCGAUGGAAACAGCUCGAUGAAUAAUAUCCACAAACGAGAAGUUACGAGAUCGUGCGAGAAUACUGGAAGGGAUGACGUAGACUCUAUUUUCUCGCGCAUGCUCAGUUUUUGAGCAGCCAUGUUUGGGCGCUGAGAUGUACACAGGCCCUCAUAGAAGUUGUGACCCCUAGCCCUCCUCUUCCAAUUGACCCCCCCUGAUCUUGACCUCAAGGAUGCAUCCUAGAAACAAGGUGCGGAGCUGUACACAGUCCUUCCUACAACUUGUAGAAGAUCCCGCACAGGCUUCACAACCAGUCAUGUGACCCCUAGCCCUCUUCCAACUGAUCGCCCCCUUGACCUUGACCUCAAGAUGCCACCUAGAAACAAAGUGUGGAGCUGUACACAGUCCUUCCUACAACUUGUAGAAGAUCUCCCAUAGGCUUCACAACCAGUCAUGUGACCCCUAGCCCUCUUCCAACUGAUUGCCCCCUUGAUCUUGACCUCAAGAUGCAACCUGGAAACAAAAUUAAGCAUUGUGAUUUUAUCACCAUGAGGGAUGAAGUAGAAAAUUCAGCCUGUACAUCACAUCAAUCGUUCUUGCUGCUGGGGUGAAGGAUAAGUUGGCUCCUUGGCCCCAUUUAUGUACUAUGAAAUCUAAUGCCCUUGUAGCUAUCAUUACGGAACGUAAUACCGAUAUCUAAAUGACAGACUGUAUUUGUAGUGGUUGCAGAAAAAAAUAUGUUAGAAAAUUGAAAAACCCAAAAGACACGUAAAAAAGAAAGAAUUAUUUUAUUUCUGUUCCAUUAUGACCGUUGUGUUGAUAAAUUAUUAAGAGAUUGUGAAUGUGAAUUAGAAUAAUUCAAUGCUGCAUUUUCUGAAGAAUGCACUUCAAUUCCACCUACUAUACCUUUAUGCAUGAAACAUAGAUUUGAAUUGGCACAUUUUGAGCAAUCUAGAAGUUAUCGUUCCUGUUCUGUUUGUGAAGCAUUACUGACUUCUGAUGACAAAACAUAUACCUGUAAAGAUAUUCCUGAAAGUGAAUUGAAAAGAUUGGGUGAUAUAAAUGAAGACUUUUCAGGAACACAAGGUCACCAUAUAUGUAGACCAUGCUACAUGUAUUGUAUAAAGAAAAGUAGAGCUAAUAAAAUGUCACUUAGAAGUAUGGAAAAUUCGCAUCAGAGCUGUGUGCUUGCAUCAGAUUCGGACGAAGACUUUUUACUCAAAAUUCUAAAUGUUUAUUUGUAUAUAUGUAGACUGUGUCUUGAGGAUGGUUAUUUUUAUUCAUAACUGUUUAUGAAUAUUUUUCUGAUCUUGUCUCAAAAAGAUGUUGUGAUGCGCUACAGAAUGACCGUGUAAAUGAAAGUCCAUUAUUUGUAAAGGAUAAGAUUAUAUACCAGUUCGGUGAGCUUUUGAUUGUACAUAGAGAUGCUGGUAGGAGGGGAAUAUCUUUUUACAGUGCAGAGAUGUCUCAUGAUUAUGUUAUACGUUCAUGGCAUAUUUCAGUUUCUAAAUUGAGAUCAUUACAAAUUGACAAGAAUAGUGCCCAAGAUGUGCCCAAUAGACCAUCCUUUUCCUCACAGUUUAGUUCACCUUCAGAGGUGAACAUGCAGUUCCGAAAUGUUGUCAAUAACGGAAAUGAAUUUCUCUGUAAACAGGCGAAACACUUUAGUUGGAAUAUUUAACUAAUCCGUUAUCUGUCACUGAUUUUAACUUUGACAAUGUAUGUUGCUUCUACCGGUAGUGAUCAUGUUCACCUUGCAGCCUGUGUUCUUUCAGCAUUUCUUUCUUUUGCUAAAUAUAGAAAACCACUUACCAGUAUGUAUUCAUCACAUGUAUGAAUGCAAACCAGUGUUAUGCACAAUACUCUUUAUCUGAUUUAAUGCUCCAUUUUGUUUGUAUUACAUAUUAUAUUCUUUUUUGUUAUAAUAGUUUAUGUUGCACACUUACCAUAUUCCUUGUACAGUCUUCUAAUAUAUAUAUUAUGGCAGAAUGUAGCAUGUACACAUGAGCAACUUAAGUUAUUCGUGUUAUAACAUUAUUAAUUUAACUUAGGAUUUUUGUAUUUUCCGUGCUUUAGUGCCUUAAACUAGCCAGUACUGUGUGUGUGUCCCAGCUGGACUAGCUUAUGAAUAAUAAUAUCUGCCAAAACAUGUAUUUUUUUAACCUUGCCAAGUUGUCUCUUGUAUUCAAAGAGAAAUAAAAAAAAUAAAAACAAUUGUUCAAAAGAAA